rnacentral:rRNA from 1 species
UACGUAGGGUGCGAGCGUUGUCCGGAAUUAUUGGGCGUAAAGGGCUCGUAGGCGGUCUGUCACGUCGGGAGUGAAAACACGGGGCUUAACCCCGUGCCUGCUUCCGAUACGGGCAGACUAGAGGUAUGCAGGGGAGAACGGAAUUCCUGGUGUAGCGGUGAAAUGCGUAGAUAUCGGGAGGAACACCAGUGGCGAAGGCGAACUUCCUCGGCCCUGUUCUUGACGCUGAGGCGCGAAAGCUAGGGUAGCAAACGGG